rnacentral:rRNA from 1 species
AGUCGAGGGGUAACGUGAGUGCUUGCACUUGACGACGACCGGCGCACGGGUGCGUAACGCGUAUAGAACCUACCUUAUAGUAAGGGAUAGCCCAGAGAAAUUUGGAUUAAUACCUUAUAGUAUGAUAAGAUGGCAUCAUUUAAUCAUUAAAGAUUUAUUGCUAUAAGAUGGCUAUGCGUUCUAUUAGCUAGUUGGUAUGGUAACGGCAUACCAAGGCAACGAUAGAUAGGGGUCCUGAGAGGGAGAUCCCCCACACUGGUACUGAGACACGGACCAGACUCCUACGGGAGGCAGCAGUGAGGAAUAUUGGACAAUGGAGGCAACUCUGAUCCAGCCAUGCCGCGUGUAGGAAGACUGCCCUAUGGGUUGUAAACUACUUUUAUAGAGGAAGAAACGGUUCCACGUGUGGAAUUUUGACGGUACUCUACGAAUAAGGAUCGGCUAACUCCGUGCCAGCAGCCGCGGUAAUACGGAGGAUCCACGCGUUAUCCGGAAUCAUUGGUUUUAAAGCGGCCGUAGGCGGGGCUGUAAGACAUUGAUGAAAGUUU